AAAGACCGACCUCGAGGGCCACAUCCAGUGGACUCCCUUCUUAGUGCUUGAGGAUCUUGAAUUUUCAGAGGACAUUGCUCUGCAUGCUCUUUUCCUAACAAUCCCGCAUGCAGAUGAUCACAACUAGAUUGAGCCAGUUUGCUGACCAACUGGGCCAGCAGAUAAAUGUGGAAAAAGACCCACGAGCUGAGAAUCAACACACCAUGUGUAUUGAAUCACAUAUUUUAUUAUGUGCAGAUAGACUGACCCUCGUUUUUUUUUAGAGGUAGUUAACCAUUUUUUUCUGAACUGAACUGCUAAUAUAAAAUUCAUAAUAAUGUUGCUUUGGCAAACACUGGAAAUAAAAAAACAGUCUAUAAAUGUGGUACAUGUAAUUAGAAAAUAGAAAAGAAAUCUACAUAUUAAAAUAAAAUCUGUAGACACACUGUUUCUCUUUUUGUCAGGAAUGGAUCUCUCCUUACCCAUUUUACAUUUUAAUCACUUAGCAGAAGACACUCUUAUCCAGAGCAAUUGGGGUUAAGUGCCUUGCUCAAGGGUCCAUCAACAGAUUUUUCACCUAGUCGGCUCCAGGACUCUUAACCGCAAAGCUACAUGCCACCUACCCCAGUCGUGAUGGUGUUAUCACAGCAAUAAAUUAAUGUGUUCCUCUGGUUGGUCAGUAUUAAAAGGCCUUAUGGUUCGAACAGAAGGAGCGUGCUUUACAUCUUGUGCCGAUAUCAAACCUUGUGAAAUACUUUUAUCGGGCCCGCCUUCCUUACACACAAGUAAGGACUUGAUAGGAAACACCAACACAAUCCUUUGAAGUGACAUUGUGCCAAGUCAGCAAACAUUCCAACCCAAAGACAAAUAAGAAAACGCUGUGAAUGAGUAUGAAUCAGUGCCUGUGACUUUCAAAUAUGCACAUAUGUACACAUACUGGAGUAUGUUUGAUCCUCAAAUACCACAAGUUAUUUUCUAUGAAGUAAUAUUGCUGUUUGAUAUGUAAGUGGUACUUCAGGGUUUCAUAUUCGGUGCACUCAUGUUGGAAUGAGAUUCACUAAUAACGAUCGAACGUAGCAAACAGUGAGCUGUUGUUCACUUUCUUUUCAAUCCUUCAAUGGUGCCCCAGGAGGAAUAUUACUCAUUCAUCACAAUCACAUCCUACUCACCGAUCACUUUGUUAAGACACAAGAGUUUGCAACUUAUUUUCCCACAUUCACUAAUCAAUUAUUGCAGCUGUUUGAAAUCACAGCUACUGCAAGGGCAAUUACUGUCAAAUGAUCAGCUCCGGGGUAUACUGUCACAGUUAAGUUAUGUUUUAAAUGUCACGCUCAAAUCCUCCGAAGGUGUAUGUGUAGCUCAAUAAAUGUAGUUUAGGAUGAUUUGUAACACAUACAUUUUGAAUGAAGUUUCGGCUAUGAUGACACAGACUCUAUGUAGAAACAGCACUUCCAGAGAGUAAAUCAUCUCUUUAGCCAACAGUGUUAAACAACAGCCUAACCAUACCGUACGUUUGGCAUGGUUAAUAGAUAAAUUACAUAAAAAACAAAGGCUCAAUAGCAGUGUUCUGUCAUAUUGCGGGUGGCUCGUGAGUCUUAGCAGGUGAAAGUGCAAAUUGAUCUAGGGUGGACAAGCAUUUCACUACACCUGCGAUAACAUCUGCUGAAUAUGUGUAUGUGACCAAUACCAUUUGAUUUGAUUUGAUUUGACAAGGUGAAACAGGGGAUUUCCACAGAGGAUUGUUAAACAGGCACUUGGCAUGAGAGUAGGGGACUUUGGAACCCUGGACACACCCUAGCAUUCAUUUGUCUUUGACACAUUCCUUUUCAGCACUGAGUGAGUGCUGACUGUCAGUUCAUCUGGACAGCAUAAAACCCUUUAUUUUUUAAAUAUUAUUUUUUACAUUUAAGUUGAGAAAUUGUAUGGAACAAAUGGUGUGGUACUUGGUAAUUGUUUCCUUGUCCUUUUCGUUGUGUCUUUAUGUUGCAAGUAAAUAUUAUGCUCAGAAUGAAAGAUGUGUAGAAAGAGAGCUGUAAAGAAGGAGGCAAGGUUGCAAAAUAAUAAAAAAUAAAUGUUAAUCAGGUGCAUAACACAGCAUAACUGAUUAUAUAAAAUGGUGGGUAGUUCCUUAUCCCCAAGAGCUCAAUAUCCCCAAUGUCAUUCUAAUGCAUGGUGUUCCUCCAGCCCAUCGAGACCUAACUAAAUAGAAAAGACUGAGAGACAAGACAGACAAAUUUCUAAGUAUGAUUAAGGUAAGGAAUUCAAUAAGUAAAUGUGUAAUUUGACUGAACUAUCCCUUUUAUGUUAGUGGGACCACUUUCAGUUGUUUAUGAAUGAUUUGUGAAGCAUUCAUAGGCCUUAUGAAGGGUUAUGAAGGGGGAACACUCACUUCAGGGCUUGAGACAAUUAGAUGAGCUGAAUGUGAUAGGCGAUGAGGUUAAGGUUCUAUAUUAGGUACAAUGCCUGCUUUGUUUUUGAAAAGCUACACAGUUUUCUUGUUUAGAUACCUUUUCAUACAAUUAAUAUCCUUUGUUUUUACCCAAAACCCUGCCUUGCCUCCACUCCCACCAAUGGUAGAACCCAAAACAGUACCAAACCACCUUGUCACAUUUGUCAAUCAAGUUAUAAGACAACUAAUUUAGGCCAUUGAGCACCACAGCUAACUUUUCCAAUUGGCUGGAAUAGAAACCCAAGAACCUAUGAGCUGCCAGUAAGAGUUUUAAAUAUCAAAUGGGGCCCAGGGUUCAAAUAGUAUGUGUUUUUUUCAUAUACUGUACUUUGAGUAUUUGAUUGAGCCUGCCUGGAGUGUGAGAUGGGCGGCACAUUUGUAAUUUUGGGACUAUUCCAUUGGUUCAAUUGUGCCAAGCAGGCUUAAUCAGGCACAUCUAACUUAUCUGAAAAAAUAAACAAAUACUAUUUUAACCCAGGUCUGCAGAUGCAAGCAGUGAUGAAAUCUGGGCCCAACAUUUAAUAGGAGCUCAUAAUGUAGGCCCUAAAGAUUUAUUUAAUUUGGUAUGUUCAACAUCAACUAGAGGUCAAGAGAAAAGACAAUUACUUGAAGGCCCCUCUUUCAACUAUUGUACUCUCCUUGUGUGCCAUGCAUGCAAUUGCAUCCCCUUCUUUGCCUUCAGUCUAAUACCUCAUAGGUUCUUCUGAGGAUCUCCUGAUGACACGACAAACACUAGCGCUACCUGCAGCCCUUGGCUUCCUCUCUUCCAGCAUCCUCAUUAUUAAUUCCAUUAUGAUGAAUGAGAGCAGACCCAGACACAUGCUUCAGCUCAGAUUGUAUAAAAAGAGAAAAAUGUGCUCUACUGAGGAUUUAGAAAUCCAAAAAGAAGCAUCUUACCCCAGAACCCUUCACAAGAUCACUAUCCCAGAAAACUUGGUUAAUGAGUUGGACUGUCAUAAGAGGUCAAGGAUCACAGCAGGCAGGCCUACUUCUAUCCCUGCUCAACCCCACUUUAUCUCGGCCUCGGAGGAGACUUGGAUCCCGAGGCAGAGGAUGGUGUGCAUGGAGGGUAGAGUGGAGACAGGAGUCUCUUGAGUUGGAUGUGACCUGAUGCGACGUGCACUUGCAACUGCCUUAAUGGAAGAUAAUUUUUCCACAUCCAGAGCGGUCAAUGUUAACCUUAUUGUUUUGUGUUUCUUCGUUUGUCAGUGGGUUUUGAGAUUUUAUUUUUUGUAAUGACAAGCACUAUAAAACAAAUUCUAGAUCAUUA